ACAUGCCUACAAUAUAGAGUUAGUGCAUCGGAUCCCAUUAGAACUCCACAGUUAAGCACACUCAGUCUAGAGUAGUACUGGGAUGGGUGACUGCUCGGGAAGUACUAGUAUUUUACAAGCC
rnacentral:rRNA from 1 species